CUGUUAGGAGCUACGCAAGAUCCAUUGAAGUACCACUGUAGAUUGAAGGAUUGGGGAUCAAUCCUUCCAGAAAAAUAAAAGGUACUGUUGCCUGGAGGAUUACAGAUGAGAGGACCUUUCAAGAGAGCCUGCACGGAUACCAGCACGCAGUACACAGCACCAACUAUUGUGAUUAUAUUCAGAAAUGAUGAAAGAAACAUCUGAAAAAUAAGCUCAAUGUGUAGGUGAACCAGAGAGAUGAAAGUUCAGGAUGUCUAAACAUCUAAGCACAGGAGUGAUCCCACCCCCUGCAGCACCUGCCAGGAGACCGGGCCGCCUAGCAGCAGCAUUGCUUCUGACAACAGCACUUACACUGGCAGCACUUCUGCUGGCAACAGCCCUUCCCACAGCCACAGCCACAGCCACAGCCACAGGAGCCGCAGCCACAGGAGCCACAGCCACAGGAGCGGCGGCAGCAGCAGACCACGGGGACGCUGCAGCAGCCCCCACCGCAGCCACAGC